AAGACUAUACUUUCAGGGAUCAUUUCUAUAGUUUCUAACAUGGAAAUGUGUUUCUAAAGUGUUACGUCUCCCUAACCACGAUGACGAGUAGN
ensembl:snoRNA U3 Small nucleolar RNA U3